rnacentral:rRNA from 1 species
AUAUAGAUUAAGUUAUUAAGGGCGCACGGUGGAUGCCUUGGCACUAGAAGCCGACGAAGGACGUUACUAACGACGAUAUGCUUUGGGGAGCUGUAAGUAAGCUUUGAUCCAGAGAUUUCCGAAUGGGGAA